AUUGAACGCUGGCGGCAUGCCUUACACAUGCAAGUCCGAACGGCAGCACGGGGGCGAACCCUGGUGGCGAGUGGCGAACGGGUGAGUAAUGCAUCGGAACGUGCCCAGUAGUGGGGAGUAACUAGUCGAAAGAUUAGCUAAUACCGCAUACGACCUACGGGUGAAAGCGGGGAUUCGCAAGAACCUCGCGCUAUCGGAGCGGCCGAUGUCUGAUUAGCUAGUUGGCGGGGAAAAGCCCACCAAGGCUUCGAUCAGUAGCUGGUCUGAGAGGACGACCAGCCACACUGGGACUGAGACACGGCCCAGACUCCUACGGGAGGCAGCAGUGGGGUAAUUUUGGACAAUGGGCGCAAGCCUGAUCCAGCCAUGCCGCGUGCGGGAAGAAGCC
rnacentral:rRNA from 1 species